rnacentral:rRNA from 1 species
AUGGCGGCGCCCUCCUCUUCAGCCGGGUUCGGGGGCAUGUCGUCGGACAACGCCAAGGGCCUGGCCCUCGCGGUGUCGUCCAGCGCCUUCAUCGGCGCCAGCUUCAUCGUCAAGAAGAUGGGGCUCAGGAGGGCCGCAGACUCCGGCGUCCGCGCGGGUUAUGGAGGGUAUUCUUACUUAGUGGAGCCACUUUGGUGGAUAGGCAUGAUUUCUAUGAUUGUUGGCGAAAUAGCUAACUUUGCUGCUUAUGCAUUUGCUCCUGCUAUUCUUGUCACUCCUCUUGGAGCACUCAGUAUAAUCAUCAGUGCUGCACUUGCUCAUUCCAUUCUACAGGAGAAACUGCACACCUUUGGUAUACUUGGUUGUGUUCUUUGUGUAGUCGGAUCGAUCACAAUUGCACUCCAUGCUCCCCAAGAGCGUGAUAUUGAUUCUGUAAGGGAAGUUUGGGAUCUUGCAACUGAGCCAGCUUUUCUUUCAUAUGCGACUAUAGUAGUGGUGGCAGCCUUGGUUCUUAUAUAUUUUGUUGUCCCUCAACAUGGACAAACAAACAUCAUGGUGUACAUUGGAGUCUGUUCUCUUCUAGGAUCUCUCACCGUUAUGAGUGUAAAGGCCCUCGGAAUUGCAUUGAAGUUAACAUUCUCAGGAGUGAACCAAUUAUUCUAUCCUCAGACCUGGGCUUUUGCUCUAAUUGUUGCUACCUGCGUAAGCACCCAGAUAAACUAUCUAAACAAGGCACUGGACACCUUUAAUACAGCAGUUGUUUCACCAAUAUAUUACGUGAUGUUUACCUCGCUAACAAUUAUAGCCAGUGUGAUAAUGUUCAAGGAUUGGGAUCGGCAAAAUCCAACCCAGAUUGUCACGGAAAUGUGUGGUUUUGUGACCAUCCUUUCUGGAACAUUUCUCCUUCACAAGACGAAGGACAUGAAUGACAGUACUGGGCCGACUUUGUCUACACGACGCUCAAAGCAUGCUAGUCAGACCGCAUUUGCCAUCGAGGUUCUUCCACUAAAAUAUCAAGAUUGUGUGGAUGACGAGACCUUGCCAUUAUCACUUCCCAAGGCUGAUAAUCACUACCUAAUGCAAGAGCUUCCUCUUAGAUACAAAGACUUGAAUAUUGCCUGA